GAAGCUCUUGUUUCCUGUCGUUCUCAGUCUCAUCGCCCCCUAAAGUAAUGUCCCCCAACCCCUCAUCAAAUUCUAGAAUCUUGAUCACGUUUAAUGUCGAAAAGUGUAGCAGCUGUGUAUCACCACGUCGUCCAAGAUGUUGGCAAAAAUUGCAAGUCCUAGGCCCGCGACCAGUCCAUCCUCUGCGAACCUCGAGCGCUUAUGAUGAAGGGAGAAGGAAGGAUGAAUAUCUGAACCACAACCUCCUAUGAAGGAUUUUCACCAUUCCUCCGAGGAAAAAGAAGUGGGAAGAUCAUCCUUCAGAUUUCUUCCAAAGGGAUAUAUACUCAAUAAGAUGGAUCAGGCAAUGUUUCUCCAGACUGCCCUCCUCUUCAGAAGGUCACAGUAGUCCUUCAAUCUCUUUAUUUUUAACAGUAAGUUAUGGCUAUAUGAAUAUUGGUGUAUUUCAAUAUUGCUUUAUAAAAAUGAGCUGAGAAUCCAUGAUCUGCAUUUUGCCAGGUAAUGAAGCAUUAUAUUGAAAUUAUAAAAUUUGUACUAGCCUGUAUUUUAUCUUCGUAUGCAACUGCUUGACAUACAAAGUAUUAAUCUUGUUACCAUAUUUUCCUUAUGUGCUAUGAUUUUUACACAUUCUCAUGUAGUUGAACAGUCUUUUGAGCAGUGACUUGCUUUUUUUUCCUCAACUAUAAAAUCUUGAAUCAUCUGAUUUCAUGUUCUUUGCAAGUGUACGACUGUGUGAUUAUUUUAUGCUUUAGAAGGCAAUAACAUAACUUCAUAUAAUAUGUAUUAUUCAGGAAGUGUGAAACUGCAGUUAAUUAUCAGUUAAUAGUUUUGUUUUCAUACUAAAUGAAUUAACCUUCUCUUCUCUCUCUACAUGAUAAGCUUUUGAUGCAUUCUCACAUACUUGACCAAUCUUUUAGGCAGUAACUUGCAUUUCUUUCCUCAAAUAUAAAAUCUUGGAUCAUCUGAUUUCAUGGAUUUUCCAGUUUUUAAUGUCUGAUGAUUUCAAGUUUUUAGAAGGUUAUAAUAUAAAUUCAUAUUUUUCUUUUAAUUUGAUCUCUAUCUCUAUCUCUACCGCUCGUCAUUUUUCCAAUAUACAAACAUCCAUAAUUUCUUAAAAAAAAAUCUGGUAAAUAGCCUCUACUUCUAAAUUUAGAAAGCCUGAAAAUAAAUGGAUUGUAUUUACCAUGUAAGAACUUUUUAUUUUUUAUUUUUUUUAUCUGCUUUUAAUGCUUUGCAACUAAUGUGCUUCGAUUGCAAUGGAAUGUGAUGGUACUGCUAAAUUUGUACUUUUAAAUGCUUCUGAUUUGCAGACUCCUACAACAAAGAACUUUUUAAUUGAUGCUCAUGCUAAAUGUGAUGAUGGUGCUAAAUUUGUAAUUUAAAAUGCUUCUGACUCACUGGUUCCUAUGACAAAGAACUUGUUAAUUGAUGCUCAUAAGUUCAACAAAGAGACAAAGUUGAUGCUUCAAUUCCUUCAACAAUUAAAACGAAGAAGGGUUUUCUACCAAUUCUACAAUCUGAUGGAUUUGCCAAUUUUUAUGAAGAUAUUACCUGAGCUGAAGACCACAACAACCUUCUUGCUAUGGGAAAAAAAUUGUAGUAGUUGGUUUCUUCUUGGCUCUUGCUUUAUGUUUUCUCCCUUCUGAACGCUUUUUGAAAUAGCAUACCCGAAGAUGAUGCUUACAUAGAAUAUUUUACCUUCUUACAGAUAUAUGUGGAAACUCUUAAGCCACCUAAAGCUAAAGCCAUAUAAGAUUAUCAAACACCUCUGAAUGAGUAGAAUGAUGAUGAUGAUGAUUUGGAUCAUCUGAGGAAGGGAGAUCGAGAACCCAGUAUGCAUGUUCUGGUAUUGUCCCUAUUUGAAAAGGUGUUUGUUUUACAAUACAUUUUCUUGUCAAAUCGUUGAGAAUGCCUUCUGGUGCAUACUACUGAUUAGUUGAUUGUAAAAUCAGACAAUAUCACUGUUUAAAAUUGGCAUUGUGCAUCUCUUUCAUAUGUGGUACGAUUUGUUGGUAACAAAUUUGGCAUUUGUGCAGGUAACUAUAACAGAUGGAAGUGUUUUCCCUAGGAUGGCAUAGUGCCCUUGAAUGAUAAGGACAUAUUGUUCAUGAAGGUGUGUCUUAAUUUCUCUCAUAAUCUGCUAUGACUUUCUGCCUGAACAAAUUUACUGGUCAAAUUGUCUGAGAUCUAGGGAAAAAGUUCUUAGAAUCCUGAUCAAAUGCAUUCAAUUUAUACAAAUUGAAAUUACACUCGACUUCUGAGUGAUUUUGGAAGUUUUUUUCAAAAUAUACGAGUUCAGUGACUGUAAAAGAGAGUAAAUGGAAAAAAGUAUUGAAUGAGGUCCUAAUUCUAUAAGUGGCAACUUGACAUUUAUGUUUGUUAGCUUCAAGAUGCUUCCCACUUGUUAGAUUUUGUGGCAACAUUUGUAUUAGGUCAGUGCGUUUUGAUUUGAUUUAAAAGGAUUAUUCACUUGAGUUUUUAUGGCUUCAAUAAUGUACAAGCUCAUGAGAAAGUGAAGCCUUAAGGAGUUUCGG